CCUACGGGAGGCAGCAGUGGGGAAUAUUGCACAAUGGGGGGAACCCUGAUGCAGCAACGCCGCGUGGGUGAAGAAGUACUCCGGUUUGUAAAGCCCUGUCAGCAGGGAAGAAAAUGACGGUACCUGACCAAGAAGCCCCGGCUAACUACGUGCCAGCAGCCGCGGUACUACGUAGGGGGCAAGCGUUAUCCGGAUUUACUGGGUGGAAAGGGAGCGUAGACGGCAAGGCAAGUCAGGAGUGAAAGCUCGUGGCCCAACCACGGGACUGCGUUGGAAACUGUGUUGCUGGAGUGCAGGAGGGGUAAGCGGAAUUCCUAGUGUAGCGGUGAAAUGCGUAGAUAUUAGGAGGAACACCGGUGGCGAAGGCGGCUUACUGGACUGUAACUGACGUUGAGGCUCGAAGGCGUGGGGAGCAAACAGGAUUAGAUACCCCAGUAGUC
rnacentral:rRNA from 1 species